AAAAUUAUUACUGAGGAAUAUAUUUUCGUCACUAAUCAUUUUUAAUAUUUUUAGACUUUUUGGUGAGGAAAUAAUUUUGUCACCAAUUUUAAAAGGAUAAUUUUGAGAUAUUGAGUGGUAAUGCAAAAAAUAUAAGCUACUAGUUUUCCAAAAAAUUGCCUCAAAUCACACCGUUUUGAUUUUUCAUUUUUCCCUUUAACUUUUUUCCCUCUCUCCCAUUUGUUGAGAAAGCCCUAACUCGUCAAGAGAGAGAGGCGAACAGAGAGGAAAGCAAGGCAAACUCGAACGCAGAGAAGGGCGGGUGACGACGACUUUGGCAGCUGCGGCGAGGUGAGGUGGCGAUUGAUUUUUGAUGACAUUUGGAAGCAUACUUGCAAAUCAAUAUCAAGUGCUGAAUUUUUUUCUUUUCUUUUUUGUGGACUGAUACUAGUUCUACUUGUAAAUCAAGAUCAAGUGUUGAUUUUUUUUUGUGGACUAUAUAUAGUUAAUUUUGGGAUUAGUUGUGAUGGUCUUUCUGUUAUACUUAAUGGAUUAUUAUUAAAUUUGUUUGAUGGAUAUAUUUUAGUUUUA